rnacentral:rRNA from 1 species
UACACACCGCCCGUCACACCAUGAGAGUUGGAGAUACCCGAAGCCUAUGAGCUAACUUUUAGAGGCAGUAGUCGAAGGUAGAAUCAAUGAUUGGGGUGAAGUCGUAACAAGGUAAC